UCCUACGGGAGGCAGCAGUAGGGAAUCUUGCGCAAUGGGCGAAAGCCUGACGCAGCCAUGCCGCGUGAAUGAUGAAGGUCUUAGGAUUGUAAAAUUCUUUCACCGGGGAAGAUAAUGACGGUACCCGGAGAAGAAGCCCCGGCUAACUUCGUGCCAGCAGCCGCGGUAAUACGAAGGGGCUAGCGUUGCUCGGAAUUACUGGGCGUAAAGGGCGCGUAGGCGGACAUUUAAGUUAGAGGUGAAAGCCCAGGGCUCAACCCUGGAAUAGCCUUUAAUACUGGAUGUCUUGAGUUCGGGAGAGGUGAGUGGAACUCCGAGUGUAGAGGUGAAAUUCGUAGAUAUUCGGAAGAACACCAGUGGCGAAGGCGACUCACUGGCCCGAUACUGACGCUGAUGCGCGAAAGCGUGGGGAGCAAACAGGAUUAGAUACCCUGGUAGUCCACGCUGUAAACGAUGAGUGCUAGUUGUCGGCAUGCAUGCAUGUCGGUGACGCAGCUAACGCAUUAAGCACUCCGCCUGGGGAGUACGGUCGCAGUUAAAAAUUG
rnacentral:rRNA from 1 species